GUAGGGAAUAUUGGGCAAUGGAUGCAAGUCUGACCCAGCCAUCCCGCGUGCCGGAAGAAGGCCCUCAGGGUUGUAAACGGCUUUUGACGGUGAAGAAUCGACAGGAUGCGUCCUGUUUUGACGGUAGCCGUUGAAUAAGCACCGGCUAACUCCGUGCCAGCAGCCGCGGUAAUACGGAGGGUGCGAGCGUUGUCCGGAUUUAUUGGGUUUAAAGGGUGCGUAGGCUGGAAGGUCAGUCAGGGGUGAAAAGCUGUCGCUUAACGAUAGUCUUGCCGCAGAUACUUCCUUUCUUGGAUGAGGAGGAGGCCACUGGAACGGAUGGUGUAGCGGUGAAAUGCAUAGAUAUCAUCCAGAACACCGAUUGCGAAGGCAGGUGGCUGUACCUUAAUCGACGCUGAUGCACGAAAGCAUGGGGAGCAAACAGGAUUAGAAACCCCAGUAGUCC
rnacentral:rRNA from 1 species